GCCUCCCAAAAAUGUUGCCCGCCCAAAAAGUAUGAGCGAAAGCUUGAAACUUAAAGAACCUGGCGGUGCUAAAUCAGCCUAGAGGGGCCUGUCUAAUAAUCGAUGAUACGCGACACACCUUACCUAUUCUAGCCAUCUUUAGCCUAUAUACCGCCGUCGAAAGCACAUUCUAUGAAAAACGCAGCUUAAAAGUCUUUACGCAAGCACGUCAGGUCAAGGUGUAGCACAUGAAAAGGACAAGAUUGGCCACAUUAACACUAAAUUACACUGAAAAGCGUAACAAUUAGAAUUUAGAAGUAAGAGGAACCAGAACACUCCUCUGAAACCUGCCCUUAAGCACGU
rnacentral:rRNA from 1 species